AGCAUGUGGUUUAAUUCGACGCAAACGCGAAGAACCUUACCAGGGCUUGACAUCUACAGAAUCCUGAGGAAACUCAGGAGUGCCCUUCGGGGAACUGUAAGACAGGUGGUGCAUGGUUGUCGUCAGCUCGUGUCGUGAGAUGUUGGGUUAAGUCCCGCAACGAGCGCAACCCCUAUGUUUAGUUGCUAGCGAGUAAAGUCGAGCACUCUAGACAGACUGCCGGUGAUAAACCGGAGGAAGGUGGGAUGACGUCAAAUCAUCAUGCCCCUUAUGUUCUGGGCUACACACGUGCUACAAUGGCCGGUACAAACGGAAGCGAAGCCGCGAGGUGAAGCAAAUCUGAUAAAACCGGUCUCAGUUCGGAUUGCAGGCUGCAACUCGCCUGCAUAAAGUCGGAAUCGCUAGUAAUCGCAGGUCAGCAUACUGCGGUGAAUACGUUCCCGGGCCUU
rnacentral:rRNA from 1 species